GUGGGGAAUAUUGGACAAUGGGGGGAACCCUGAUCCAGCCAUGCCGCGUGUGUGAAGAAGGCCUUUUGGUUGUAAAGCACUUUAAGUGAGGAGGAGGCUACCGAGAUUAAUACUCUUGGAUAGUGGACGUUACUCGCAGAAUAAGCACCGGCUAACUCUGUGCCAGCAGCCGCGGUAAUACAGAGGGUGCGAGCGUUAAUCGGAUUUACUGGGCGUAAAGCGUGCGUAGGCGGCUUUUUAAGUCGGAUGUGAAAUCCCCGAGCUUAACUUGGGAAUUGCAUUCGAUACUGGGAAGCUAGAGUAUGGGAGAGGAUGGUAGAAUUCCAGGUGUAGCGGUGAAAUGCGUAGAGAUCUGGAGGAAUACCGAUGGCGAAGGCAGCCAUCUGGCCUAAUACUGACGCUGAGGUACGAAAGCAUGGGGAGCAAACAGGAUUAGAAACCCCUGUAGUCC
rnacentral:rRNA from 1 species